rnacentral:tRNA from 1 species
GCUGUGGCCGAGUGGUUAAGGCGAUGGACAAAACCAUUGGGGUCUCCCCCCGUAGGUUCGAAUCCCACCCGGGUGCA